CUUACAGUCAAUGUGACUUUGAUCUUAUUGGAGUAUAUGAAGAUGAUAUGGUAGCUUUCAAUGCUAGUACCGUAACUACAUCCUUUACUGCUUCUACUGCACCAGUGGAUGAUAUUCUAUUCUCAU